rnacentral:rRNA from 1 species
CCUACGGGAGGCAGCAGUGGGGAAUAUUGCGCAAUGGGCGAAAGCCUGACGCAGCGACGCCGCGUGAGGGAUGAAGGCUUUCGGGUUGUAAACUUCUUUUGUCAGGGAAGAGUAGAAGACGGUACCUGACGAAUAAGCCACGGCUAACUACGUGCCAGCAGCCGCGGUAAUACGUAGGUGGCAAGCGUUGUCCGGAUUUACUGGGUGUAAAGGGCGUGUAGCCGGGUUGACAAGUCAGAUGUGAAAUCCUGCGGCUUAACCGCAGAACUGCAUUUGAAACUGUUGAUCUUGAGUACUGGAGAGGCAGACGGAAUUCCUAGUGUAGCGGUGAAAUGCGUAGAUAUUAGGAGGAACACCAGUGGCGAAGGCGGUCUGCUGGACAGCAACUGACGGUGAGGCGCGAAAGCGUGGGGAGCAAACAGGAUUAGAUACCCGAGUAGUC